UUCCGGUUGAUCCUGCCGGAGGCCAUUGCUAUCGGUGUCCGAUUUAGCCAUGCGAGUUGCACGUUUAACGUAGCAAACUGCUCAGUAACACGUGGCCAAACUGCCCUAUGGAUCGGGAUAACCUCGGGAAACUGAGGCUAAUCCCGAAUAGUGCAUCCAGCCUGGAACUGGCGGAUGGACGAAAUGCUCCGGCGCCAUAGGAUGUGGCUGCGGCCGAUUAGGUAGACGGUGGGGUAACGGCCCACCGUGCCGAUAAUCGGUACGGGUCAUGAGAGUGAGAGCCCGGAGACGGACUCUGAGACACGAGUCCGGGCCCUACGGGGCGCAGCAGGCGCGAAACCUUUACACUGCACGACAGUGCGAUAGGGGGACACCGAGUGCGAGGGCAUAGAGCCCUCGCUUUUGUAGACCGUAAGGAGGUCUACGAAUAAGGGCUGGGCAAGACCGGUGCCAGCCGCCGCGGUAACACCGGCAGCCCGAGUGAUGGCCGAUAUUAUUGGGCCUAAAGCGUCCGUAGCUGGCCGCGCAAGUUCGUCGGGAAAUCCACUCGCUUAACGAGUGGGCGUCCGGCGAAAACUGUGCGGCUUGGGACCGGAAGAUCCAAGGGGUACGUCCGGGGUAGGAGUGAAAUCCUGUAAUCCUGGACGGACCACCGAUGGCGAAAGCACCUUGGAAGGACGGAUCCGACAGUGAGGGACGAAAGCUAGGGUCUCGAACCGGAUUAGAUACCCCGGUAGUC
rnacentral:rRNA from 1 species